rnacentral:rRNA from 1 species
UACAGAAGGUGCGAGCGUUAUUCGGAUUUACUGGGCGUAAAGGGCAAGUAGGCUGCCGUUUAAACUGGAGACCAAAUACUGGAUGAGUGAUAUUCAGACGAUGCUCUAAAGAUUUUUCGGCUAGAGCUAAGAGGAGAUUUGAGGAAUUGGAUAGGGAAUAGUUAAAUGUUUAUCUGUCUAGGACCACCUAUAGGCGAAAGCAUCAUUUCAUUUUUAGCUGACGCUCAGAUGCGAAAGCGUGGGGAUCAAACAGG